GUAAGGCACAUGGCAAUUUUAACCAUUUCCACUAUUAUUAUGGGAUUUGGACUGUGCUAAACACAGACUUUUAACAAAUGGGUUAACAUUUGGACUCAACUACAUACUGUCUAUGUGGACUUGGACCCAUUGCUUAAUUUCCUGAGCUUGUUUCUUAAUCUGUAAAACAGGGAGAUUAUCCACUUGACAGAGUAGAGGGUACUAGAUGCACUUGGCCUGUGUUCCCAAAUGCUGCUUUCAAGGAGUUCAGCUGGGGAGACAGGAGGACAGAAAAAAUGAAUCUAUAAUAAGAAAAACCAGAUCUGUACUUGCCAUGGGGCUGUGAGAUAAGAAAAGAGCAGUGUGGCAAAGGGUAAGAGACAAACAACCUAGGAUGAGAUGCCAGCUCCACCUCCUUAUGCUGAGUGACCUCAAGCAAUGACACCCUCCUCUCUGACCUCUGUGAAGCUAAAAAGCAAAUGCAGAUGAUGGACCUACUGCAGUGGGAUGGUCUGGGAUGGAGCUGCUGGUAUUACGGCCAUCCUAAUUUUUGAGAUAUGGACAUGGCUCUGUGGAAAUCAUGAAAAUGUUAUAAGGGAGAGCUGCUGCUUGCUGGAAAAUCUCCAAGGAGAAAGAAUUCCUCAUCGCUGUCAUCUGCUCUUUGCCCAGGGGAAGCUAAAAAAAAAAAAAAUAGAAUUGUGCAGAGAACAAAGACCAUGUUCAAGGAGUGACUUAGGAAAAAAACCUUCUGACCUAAAAUCACAGGUCCAUCAAGUUUAACGUGAGGGAACCCUUAAUAAUCUUUUGCCAGCUCCCUAUCACCCACACCACAGGACAGAUGGAGAAACCAAGGCCCACAGAACACAAGAGACUUCCCCAAAUGACUCAGCAUGAUGAGCCCUGAAUGAUAGCUACAUUUCUGGCUUGCUAUUUCCUUCUGAAGACUUCUUUAGUGGAAGAGAUUUGGGGUGGAUUCCUGACCCUGCACUAACCAACUGUGUGACUUUGGGAUCGAACUCAGGACCUUGCACUUGCAAGGCAAGCGGCGGAACCACUGAGCUAAAUCCCUGGCCCAGAGAACUUUAUUUUGAUAAAAAUGUCUUUUUAUGUUGGCCCCUCCUCCCACCACUAAAGAGCAUCUUCAGAGUGCUUCCUGGUCUCCAUGAGGUGAGCAGCUUUCUUCCACCAGACCCUUCUCCCAUGCUGUUUCUUCCCUGGAGUCAGCCAACCAUGGACUGAAAACAUGAAUCAAUAAAUAACUGAAAAUAAACCUUUCCUCCUUCAAGUUCCAGGUGUUGGGUACUUUGCGUCAGAGACUAGAAAGUGACUAAGACCUCUCCAUCAUUUUCUGGCUGCCAGCUGCCUUCAGUGCUAUGAGACUGGGGCACUGGCUGCUUUCAGCACCAGUGACCUUUGAUGUUACCAGGUCUUAUGACCCAAGACAGCGGUCACAAAUCCUGUCUAGGGUCAGGGAUUUAGUUCAGUGGUGCUGCCAUCUGCCUCACAAGUGCAAGCUCCUGAGUUCAAUCCCCGGUACAAAAAAAGAAAUAUGC
ensembl:lncRNA